AUCACUCUUUCUUCAAGCUCCCAGAGAUGGAGUCAAACACACUCCUCCUAUGCAUGCUGCUGCUUGGUGUUCCAGGUUCCACUGGGGACAUUGUGCUGACCCAGUCUCCAGCUUCAUUGGCUGUCUCUCUGGGACAAAAGGCCACCAUCUCUUGCAAGUCCAGUGAAAGUGUCAAUAUUUUUGGCACAGACUUAUUGCAAUGGUACCAACAAAAACCAGGACAGCCCCCCAAACUCCUCAUCUAUUCAGCAUCCAAUACAGAAUCUGGGGUUCCUGCCAGGUUCAGUGGCAGUGGGUCUGGGACAGACUUCACCCUCACCAUCCAUCCUGUGGAGGCUGAUGAUGCUGCAAUCUAUCACUGUCAGCAAAGUAAGGGGUUUCCUCCCACAGUGCUCCAGGGCUGAACAAAAACCUCCUGG